AAAGUAGAUAUAUAUAAGAAAAAUGUUUUUGUGACCUGGAUUCACAAAGUCUGGGAUAAUGUUCUUGCUCAACAACUAUUUAAAUUGGGAUUCCCUGAAAGCAGAGCCUGAGACAAAGAUUUGGAUACAAGUAGUUUAUUUGGGAGGUGAUUCCAGGGAGCAUAAACAAGGGUGUGGUCAAAUGAAAUAGAACAGGGAGGAAAGCCAAAAAGUACCUAAUGAGUGGGGGUACACUCAUAGACAACUGAGGCUCCAACCUACUGAAACCUCUGAGAGCCCCACAUCAGAAUUUUCCUCUCAGGUGGCAGGAGACCAAGAGUAGGUAUAUAUCCACCAACCCCAGGUCCUUGUUGCUUGAGGGUUGCUUCUGUGGUAUUGAUUCCACCUGUUGUACUAUGAUCCUUCCACGUGUGCUUUAAUCCCCAGCUCCUCAUUUCUUCUCUAGAGCUAGGUUGAUUACCUUCCUCUUUUUCACUAUUGACUUCACCCUUUCCUUCCACAGUUGUUUCCCCUUUUUACUCUAUGAACAAGCCCAAGUCUAUUAAACCCUAGAAAAUUAAAAUCUCUCUUACUCCUGCCUCUAGUAACUUUCCUAUUUUUCUCUCCAUUUCAACUAUGCUUAUUUUUUAAGAAGACAGUCCACACUCACUGAUUCCACGGUCUCUCUUUCCAUGAACUCCUCAAUUAAAGCCAGUGACUUCUGACUCCUUUACUGCAAUUGCGGCUGCUUACAAGAUGCCACAACACUCCUCAUGGCAGUUUCUCGCUGAAUUCUCAGGCUGCUCCUUCUUCCUCAAAAGUUCUUCUUCCACAGGCUUUUAUAAAACCCAUCCCUCUUAGUUCUCUGGGCAUCCUCCAAGUUUUCCAUCUUUCCUUUAUGGAGUAUUCUUUCCUUUUUGGUCCAUUGAAUGUUAGUGUUUAACAACUCCCAAAUAUUUCAUUCCAGCUAUUACUUCUCUCUGUAACUCCAGAAGUGUUUGUCCAGUAGCCUGUUAGCUCAGACUAAAUUUAUUAUAGUCUCUUCUCUUCCUCUUCCCUCCCCUUGGGAAGAAAGGCUUGCCUUCGAAAGAAGAUAGUGAGUUGGCAAAACCAGCAUUUACUCACUUCAUUUACCCACUUCAAAAUCUUGGGAUUAUCAGAGAACAUUCCUCCUCCUCAUCCUGCAUUUCCAGUUAGUCAAUAAGUUCUGCUGAUUCUACCUUCUAAAUGGUAAAUUCUCUCCAUCAGCGCCAUUGCUGCUGUCACCUUAAUUCAUGUGUUCAUCACCUUGGCAUAAUCUACUGGUAUCUCUUAGUUGAUCAAUCUGCUCCCAGUUUCUUCCUCAUGCAGACCAUCUGCUACAGAGUAUAAAACAUUAUCUUGAUGCAAAAAAAGACCACAUUACUUCUCUACUUAAAAAGGCUUAGAAGUUCUCCAUCAAGUCAACAAUCAACAAGCUAAAAUCUGAUUUCUUUUAUGUGGUGAUCUAGCUAGUCCCAGUGUCAGUAUCCAGAAGCCGCUCAGGUGGUCCCAAUGGCUAAAGCCAUCAUGAGCCAGCCAACCUGGCAUGUGUGGGUGCUUUGAAAUCAAUGGUUAAAAUCUGAGUGUGGGAAUGGAUCCUGAGACCUUGUAGCCCUAAGUCAGUAUUGGCACAGAGCCUUCUCUGUAAACUUAAAUUAAGUGUCAACAUUUAGAAGUCACUUACUAUGAGCCAGGUACUCUCUGAACACUUCCUAUGUACUAAUUCAUGUAAUCUCCAGAGUAGCCCUUUGAGAUAUGUAUUAUUAUUUUUAAUUCCCAUUUUCCCAGUGAGGUGACUGAGACAUAAAGAGAGCAAGCAACUUGCUUAACAUCAUAUAUGCCACGAUUUGACUUGAAGUAGACUGUUCUAGAAGCAGGGUCUUAUCCAUUUGCUAUGGGCUUUGUUAGCUUUACACAGAGGCUGUGGGGUUCCCAGGCUUAGAACAUAAUUCCAGCCUGUGCAGGGAUCUAGAUGAAUCAGAGGUGAAGAGUGGAAGAAAGAAGCAGAGUGGAAGCCCAAGCCACUGAUGGCAAUCUGAACUUGGAGCGUAACAUCACCAGGAGAAUCUUUAUCUCCACAUCUUCCCAAUCCUCUAUAGUUCUGUCAUCCAACACACACACAGAUACAGACAUACACACGCACACAUAGACACACACACAAUCCAUGAGAAGCUUUCACCAGAUCAGAAGUGGAAUUAUUGCUGCAGAAGGUAAUGAUGGAUGGCCCCAGACCACAUGAGAAUGUUUUUAAAAAUGACAAAAUAUUGGGAAUAUAACAAACAAGCAAAAAAAUGGGACCCAUCUAGAGAGCCACAUGUGGUCUCUAAUUCCUCCCUGCACUGUGGGUUUGGAAUGAACACUGGCCCCUAAGAACCGAGUUAGCCAUGCCCUGUUCUUCUCUUGAAUAUAAUGGGAGGGGAUGUCAGGGAAAUGGAGAUGUCUCUUCUCACAAUAUCUGCUAAUCAGGAUUGUUCAGGGCCUUGUGCAAUUAAUUUUAGCUUUCAAAAAAGAAAUAAUUUCUCAGAACUCCAUGGUGAGGAAAUAGGUCAUACUCAUUAGCAUAGUCAUAGAGGAAGAACAGUGUUUAAUAAUAGGCCUGGCUGAAAUAGGCUAGCAGUGAAACUAGAAGGGCAAAAUUAUUCUGUUAAUGAAGAAUUAAUGAAGAUUUUCGAGUUUCCUUAGGUAACCCAAGAAGAAAGGUGUGAAAAAGGAAGGAGUGAAUGAGAUAAGAAUGGGGAGGAGGAUGUGAGGAAGGAAUACAUCAAGAUGCCAGGGAGCUGAGCAAGAGGCAGCCAGGGAGAAGUUCUGGGCUAUGGCCAAGGAUCUUUAAAGAGCAAGGAUCUUUAAAUAGUCAGUUUUAAGAUGUUUGGUGCAGCCUAAAUUCCUCUUCCUCUUCCCCUGCCUGAAUCUUCCGUAAGAAUCUACUACACAGAGAUGCCUUGUAUCUGCAGCAUUUUGAGAAGAGGGAAAGAGGCUGUUGCUUUGGGAAUGAUGCAGAGUGGAGAAAAAGAACAGCCAAAAGAGGCUAGACUUGAGAGAAAUUACAGUAAUUCAGUAAAAGCAGGAAAUAAUAGAAAAACAUUGACUCCAAAGAUCCUGGAAGGUGCCAGCAAGUGAGGUUAGGUUUCCCACUGUAGAUGUAAUGGAAACAUGGUUUCCCCACCAACUUCGAGGCUUGAGAGCAUUCAGAAAAAGUUUGGUCAACCUUGUAGGGGAACCAGCCCGCUAUACCACCCGCGGGUUCUCCCCUUCCCAGUGGAGACGAGGGAAUGAGAAAAGAAAUAAAGACAAACACACAAAGUUCAAGAGUUAACAAAAGUGGGUCCAGGGGUCCAUCGCAAUGUGGAAACUGCGACAGCCCUGAGCUCUGGAUUCCACUGAUAUUUACUGAAUAAUCCUUAAAGUCCAACUAAUUGGUUAACAGAACAGGACGUGAAAGCAGACAGCCCGUCAGACCACAGGCCUGUGCAUCAAAGGAGCGGUCCACUCCAAGCACCAUCAGCAGGGCAGCAGAGCUCUCUGCCUCUGGGAACGAGCGAGAGAUAGAAGACUUUCCCCUUAUCCUCAGAGGACUUCUCCUCUUUUACAAGCAACCUCCUGCUGUUCCCUUCUGGGGAAUGGAGCAGGGGUCGCUUCCCUUCCCACAAGACCUUUGUUCAGGGACUCAAGUGGGAGGUUGAGCAAUAAGCAAGCUUUCUUGCUUAGAGGCUCCGCACACUUCCUGUGGUUGUUUGUUCCACCCUGCAGUUAGGCAAGCAAGCUCACCGCCUGAUUCUUAUAUUGUCGGACUAAGCAGAAGCUAUUCUUAUGAUUCAUGACUAUAUUAAUAAAGCACUAUUCUAAAGCA
rnacentral:lncRNA from 1 species